UAGGGAAUCUUCCGCAAUGGGCGAAAGCCUGACGGAGCAACGCCGCGUGAGUGAUGAAGGUCUUCGGAUCGUAAAACUCUGUUAUUAGGGAAGAACAAAUGUGUAAGUAACUAUGCACGUCUUGACGGUACCUAAUCAGAAAGCCACGGCUAACUACGUGCCAGCAGCCGCGGUAAUACGUAGGUGGCAAGCGUUAUCCGGAAUUAUUGGGCGUAAAGCGCGCGUAGGCGGUUUUUUAAGUCUGAUGUGAAAGCCCACGGCUCAACCGUGGAGGAUCAUUGGAAACUGGAAAACUGGAGUGCAGAAGAGGAAAGUGGAAGUCCAUGUGUAGCGGUGAAAUGCGCAGAGAUGUGGAGGAACACCAGUGGCGAAGGCGACUUUCUGGUCUGUAACUGACGCUGAUGUGCGAAAGCGGGGGGAUCAAACAGG
rnacentral:rRNA from 1 species